rnacentral:rRNA from 1 species
UUCGCAAUGCCCGAAAGGGUGACGAAGCGACGCCGCGUGAGCGAAGAAGGCCCUAGGGUUGUAAAGCUCUGUCAGGGGUUAGGAAAUGUAGGUCGGUUAAUACCCGGCUUAUAUGACAAAAGCCCCAAAGGAAGCCACGGCUAACUCUGUGCCAGCAGCCGUGGUAAUACAGAGGUGGCAAGCGUUGUUCGGUAUUAUUGGGCGUAAAGAGCACGUAGGUGGUUUUGUAAGUCAGAUGUGAAAGCCUUCUGUUCAAAGGAAGAACGGCAUCUGAAACUGCGGAUCUUGAGUGUAGGAGGGGAGGGUGGAACUUCUGGUGGAGCGGUGAAAUGCGUAGAUAUCAGAAGGAACGUCGGCGGCGAAAGCGACUCUCUGGCCUAUUACUGACACUGAGUGUGCGAAAGUUAGGGGAGCAAACGGGAUUAGAUACCCCGGCAGUCCUAACCGUAAACGAUGGGCACUAAGUAGAGGGGUUUU